rnacentral:rRNA from 1 species
CCUACGGGAGGCAGCAGUGGGGAAUAUUGCACAAUGGGGGAAACCCCGAUGCAGCGACGCCGCGUGAGUGAAGAAGUAUUUCGGUACGUAAAGCUCUAUCAGCAGGGAAGAACAUGACGGUACCUGACUAAGAAGCCCCGGCUAACUACGUGCCAGCAGCCGCGGUAAUACGUAGGGGGCAAGCGUUAUCCGGAUUUACUGGGUGUAAAGGGAGCGUAGACGGUGUGGCAAGUCUGGAGUGAAAGCCCGGGGCUCAACCCCGGGACUGCUUUGGAAACUGUCAGGCUGGAGUGCAGGAGAGGUAAGCGGAAUUCCUAGUGUAGCGGUGAAAUGCGUAGAUAUUAGGAGGAACACCAGUGGCGAAGGCGGCUUACUGGACAGUAACUGACGUUGAGGCUCGAAAGCGUGGGGAGCAAACAGGAUUAGAUACCCGAGUAGUC